rnacentral:misc_RNA from 1 species
GUGAAUCAUCGAAUUUUUGAACGCAAAUUGCGCUUCCUGGCAUCCCGGGAAGUAUGCCUGUUUGAGGGUCAGGAUUAACAAAAAAAUCGGUAUGGUUGCAAAGUGUGACGGUUCCGGAGGGUGGGCUAUCGUAACUGUUUUGGUUAAGGGGAUUAAAAUGGACCUGUUUUGCGCAUUUUUAGACGUACAUAAAUUUUUUUUUUAUUCGUCUGUUCUUAAUGCCAAAAUCUUAUUAGAUGCGAUGAAUUCGUG